rnacentral:rRNA from 1 species
UACAGAGGGGGCAAGCGUUAUUCGGAAUUAUUGGGCGUAAAGGGCGUGUAGGCGGCUUGGCAAGUGGAAGGUGAAAUCCCUCGGCUUAACCGAGGAACUGCCCUCCAAACUGCUUCGCUUGAGACCGGGAGAGGUGAGUGGAAUUCCCAGUGUAGCGGUGAAAUGCGUAGAUAUUGGGAGGAACACCAGUGGCGAAGGCGGCUCACUGGACCGGUACUGACGCUGAUGCGCGAAAGCGUGGGGAGCAAACGGG